CCCUGACAAAAAUAUGUUUCCUGUGAGAAAGAAAGGGUAAACAUACGAUUUUAGUAAAACCUACUCAAAGAUAUACAGAGUUUAAAGAUCUACUGUACGUUUUUAUUUGCUUCAAGUCCAGUCGCUUUAAUACAUGUUUAGUAAAGAUCCUUGUCCAGUCAAUGUGAUCCUUGUCCAGUCAAGUUAUUAUAGAUACUUGAGAUGACGACACAACCUUACUUAUAAAAUAGGCUGACCUCAGAGGUACAUUCAUCAAUAUUUAUCUUAUUAGUAUGUAUAAUAUAUGUUUUUUAAGAUUACAAAAAAAAGAUCAAUUCAUAAAAACGGCCUCGUUAAUCUUUCAGGGUGUUGUGGUAUUGUGUUCACCUUUAGUGUGGGAGGUGGUGGGUUUAUAAAAUACACUCUGUAAGCAGUUUUCCUCUGCCGUAC